GAUGAAGAACGCAGCGAAAUGCGAUAAGUAAUGUGAAUUGCAGAAUUCAGUGAAUCAUCGAAUCUUUGAACGCACAUUGCGCCCCCUGGUAUUCCGAGGGGCAUGCCUGUUCGAGCGUCAUUAUAACCCCUCAAGCUCAGCUUGGUGUUGGGGCCUGCCGCACGGGCAGCCCUUAAAAUCAGUGGCGGUGCCAUCUGGCUCUAAGCGUAGUAAUUCUUCUCGCUAUAGAGUCCCGGUGGAUGCUUGCCAUUAACCCCCAAUUUUCUAUGGUUGACCUCGGAUCAGGUAGGGAUACCCGCUGAACUUAAGCAUAUCAAUAAGCGGAGGA
rnacentral:misc_RNA from 1 species